AAUAGAACCCUGGUAGUCCACGCCGUAAACGAUGAGUGCUAAGUGUUAGAGGGUUUCCGCCCUUUAGUGCUGCAGCUAACGCAUUAAGCACUCCGCCUGGGGAGUACGGCCGCAAGGCUGAAACUCAAAGGAAUUGACGGGGGCCCGCACAAGCGGUGGAGCAUGUGGUUUAAUUCGAAGCAACGCGAAGAACCUUACCAGGUCUUGACAUCCUCUGCCAACCCUAGAGAUAGGGCGUUCCCUUUCGGGGGACAGAGUGACAGGUGGUGCAUGGUUGUCGUCAGCUCGUGUCGUGAGAUGUUGGGUUAAGUCCCGCAACGAGCGCAACCCUUAUGUUUAGUUGGAUUUUUCUAAACAGACUGCCCUGGUAACAGGGAGGAAGGAGGGGAUGAUGUCAGGUCAGUAUUGCCCUUACACCUGGGGCUACAAACACGCUACAAUGGCCGGUACAAAGGGCUGCUAAGUCGCGAGACGGAGCUAAUCCCAUCAAAGCCGGUCUCAGUUCGGAUUGCAGGCUGAAACUCGCCUGCAUGAAG
rnacentral:rRNA from 1 species